rnacentral:lncRNA from 1 species
GGCGGCCCGGCCCUCGCGCCGCCCUCCCGCCGCCGCCGCCGCCGCCGCCCCCGACCCGCACGGCGCGGCCCCCUCCCCCGCUACCUGACGACGGCGGCCGCGGCAGCCGCAGCGGUGGCCGGGCGGUGCGCGCCGGUGCACGUCCCUCAUUAGCACCCAGCACAUUCCUGCCGCCGGCGCUCCCGCGCGCCCCCUCCCCCCAGGACAUUACGCAAAGCAGCCUCCCCUCAUCUGCAUAGAGCCUCGGCCAGGGAGGCAGGAAAAACGCAGCGCCGGGGCCACUUACCGCGCCGAGGACCCUCGGUUCCCGCCGCUCCGCUCUCCCAAAUGGUCGGUCCGCCCUCCGCGCACCCCAAGGCUGCACCCCGCACCCCAAAGUCGAGACGUGUAGGAAUAUUGUUAAGAGCCAGGAGCCCCUCCAAGUUGCUCCGGGCUCCUGGGAGCUUCAACGUCCAAGACACAACUUGGCCAAGACUUGUGCCACGGUCCCCGAAGAUGUUUCGGUGGAGACCCUCCUCCGGCGGGGAGAGACGCGCUCGGCGGCGCCCCGCUCGCCGCCUCUCCACCCCCUCACCUCCAGCCCGCCUCCCGCCGGCCGCCCGCCCCCGGGCCGCGAGCCCCUCGGGCGGCUGUCAGCUCCCGGCCGCCGCCGGGUGACAGGGGCGGGAGGAGGGCGCGACGCGGCGGCCCGAGCCCGAGCGGGCGAGGGGGAUCCUCGCAGCAGCGGCGGCCGCUCACCUGGAAAGUCACCGCUGAGAAGGAGGAGGAGGAGGAGGAGGAAGAGUGGGGAGAGGAGGAGGGGGAGGAAACCCCCCUGGUGCCCUUGUUCUCGCUGCCGCGGCGGCCGCUCCUCGCCAAGGCUGAGCGUGUCUGGUGGGGGGUGUCUGGUAGCAUUUCCUUAAGGACAGAGGGAGGGCGGGCGCGGAGGGAGGGAAGAGAUCCCGACCGCCUGCCCAGGCUCCUCUUUCCUCUAUUUAUUUUUCUGACACUGUACGGCGAUGGGCCCGGGGCAGGGGCCGCCGGGCUCGCGAGGGAGCCGCGAGGCCCGGGCCGCAGCAGUGUGCGUGCGGGAGCCGCAGCGGCCGCCUCCCCUCCCGGGCUGUGGACGCACCGGGUUAUUCCUGGCAGCGCCUCCCCGAACAGAAGUUACUAGGAGGAGUGCGCGGCGAGGGCGGGCGCGGGGAGAGGCGGGGGGAGGGAGGGAGGAAGAGGGAGAGACUCAGCCAGCGACGUCAUCGGAUCCCCCAGCGCGUCCCUAGGAGGGAGGCUGAACCAGAAAAACCAGUCUGGAGCCGGCGAGCGCGAGAGGGAUGUGCGGCGCGCCGGGCGGCCGGGGAGGGAGGCGGCCGGGAGGGCAGGGCCGGGCCCCGCCGCGGCCGCUCCGGGCGGGAAGAUCGCGGCCGCGGUCACGCUCCCUCGGAUCGGGGAACUCCCCCGAGAGCCGGUCUCUACUCGUCAUGCAAAAAAAAAAAGACUUGGGCGUCUCUAGGAGCCCGAGAACUUCCUUCAGGGAUGUGAAAUCUCCUCCCCGCCCCCCAUCUUCCCCAUUUCCCGUAUAACCGUUCCCUGUGUUGAUGACAAACGGAAUUACUGAAUAUUUAGGAUGGUCAUGAUUUUGUCCGUGGACCUCUGAUCCCUUUCCUCGCUCUCGCCCUCGGCUCUACUCACGGUUAUGUUAUCGGUCAACAGAAACAAAAUCAGACUGUAGCUCCUGGCUGCGCUUCUCAAGCUGUGCCAAGCGUUUUACUAGCACUUUCCGUGCCCCUGCGGAAGCACGAACUUUUCAGGCGCUCGAAAGGCCCCCAUUGCCUCCCCUGGGGUCGCUCGCCAGGGCGCCGCGGGCGCACCCAGCUCUGGGAACGCGGCCCGCCCUCGCCGGGGUAUUCAAAUCGGGGUGGGCAGCGGCGCGGGGCGCAGCUGCCGGCUUCCUGGUGGGCCGUGCCGGGGCCCGGGGCGGGCCGCCGCCUCCAGCCCGCGCGCUGCCCUCUCCUCGGACGGGACGCGAGCGACACCCUACCCGGCGCGGGAAGCGAGGGGCCCGGGGAAUCCCAGCUUCCUUUCCCAUCAAACUCACGUUCUCUCAAACCUGCUGAUCUCAGAGAGUUGUCAACAGAAAAACCAACUAUUCAAGCCUAAAGUAAACCAGGAAGGUCGAAGUGUUCCAGGAACAUCGAACCACAUAGUCCCUCCAUCUGAGCACAGAACUAUGAAGGGAGUGAGAAAUGUACCUAGUGUUCUCAAGAGCUAAAAAUAAGGAGGGAGUAACUAAACUGCUUAUGUGAAAAAAAUCAUGAGGCCGGUAUCCAAAGAAGAGUCUCAAACUUUCUUCAACAUGGAUAGUCCACCUUUUGCUCCCACCGAAUUACUAAAACAAUUUACAAAUUGAUUCACAAAUUAACUUCUAACGGUCAUGUUUUAAAGCCUCACGUUAGUCCUGAUAUUACACGGUGGACGCGUUCUCUUAUUGACCCUUGAACAUUGGCAUUCCCAGAGUUCUACUCAUCGUCUCCUAUCCUCACUCUUCUCCAGAGUUCUCAAAACGGAAGCCCGCAGACUGGGUACAGACCACAGAUGUCUACUGUUUGGGCUCUACAGGACUUCAGGCAAAUUUAAGAAACAGUAUUUAAAACCUGAAGUUUUCACUUAUUCGUUUGGAUUUUCCAGGUUCUUUUGAAAAAUGGGAAGAUCUGACAACACCAGACCAGCCUUUACGUCUAUCAAUAAUUACCUGCAACUAAACAGAGGUUGCUCCCUAGAGACCGGAUGUUUGCUCUCCUGUUGCUAUAGUCCUCACCACUCCCUACUGCCUUAAAUCCCUGGCCCACCCCCUUAAUUCAUUUACAUGAGUGAGCACUUGCAAAGGCUCCUCAUAUACCUACACUGUGUAAUCCCAUCCUUACUUGUGGUUUCAGCUACCUCACCCUAAAUUUCUAAUGGAGAACACGUUUUGGAACACUAUAUGAUCUCUCAGUUCCCCUUAGAUUACUGUAGGUGCCUCACUCUCAACAUGUCCAAAACCAAACACAUUAUUUUUUCUCAUUAACCACCAAAUUUUCCCCUUCUGUAGUCCCUAUACAGUUAAUAGUGUCACCAUCUGUGAUGGUCAGUUUUACGUGUCAACUUGUCUAGGCUAUAGUAUCCAAUUAUUCAAAUAAACGCUAAUCUAGGUUUUGCUGAAAAGAUGUUUUGUAGGUGUGGUUGGCAUCUACCAUCAGUUGACCUUAAGUAAAGGAGCUUAUCUUUGCUAAUCUGAGUGGGCCUCAUUCAAUCAGUUGCAAAGCGUUAAGAGCAAAACUGAGACUUUCCUGAAGACAAAGCAAAUUCAGCCUCAAGAUAGCAGCGUCAGCUCCUGCCCGAGGGCUUACAGCCCAUGGGCCUUCCCUACAUACUUCAGAGUUACCGACACCCACAGUCCCACUGGUUCCGUUACUCUGGAGAACCCUGACUGAUAUCUCAUUUAUUUAAGCAGCCAUGCUGAGAAUCUAAGAGACUUCCUCAACACUUUCUCCUCCUUAUGGCUUUCAUCCAGUCAUACCUCUUUAAAAUAGUCUUCAAAAUAACGAUCAGAUGUCCUCUUGUAGUUCUAUAACUCUGUCCCUACUGUCUAGAGAUCAAAGUCCAAACUCCUAAGUAGGGUACACAUGGCUGUUCAUUUCCUGGUCUCUGGCUACUUUUCCAGACUCAUUUCUUGCUGUCCUACCCUCUUCCCUUGUACCUACCAUCUGAACGGAAAUGCUUCCAUAUUUUGGAAGACCCCCUCAUAUUUUAUUCCUCUAUACUCAUGCUGCUCCUUCAAUCUCAAAUAUCCAUACUUAUAGAGCACUUGGCAUAAAUCUACUCAACUUUCGGGACUUAGUUGAAACAUUUGCACUUCCA